AGAGUUUGAUCCUGGCUCAGGAUGAACGCUGGCGGCGUGCUUAACACAUGCAAGUCGAGCGAAGCACUUAGGUUUGAUCCUUCGGGAGAAGACUUAUUUGACUGAGCGGCGGACGGGUGAGUAACGCGUGGGCAACCUGCCUUACACAGGGGGAUAACAGUUAGAAAUGACUGCUAAUACCGCAUAAGACCACAGCAUUGCAUGGUGCAGUGGUAAAAACCGAGGUGGUGUAAGAUGGGCCCGCGUCUGAUUAGGCAGUUGGCGGGGUAACGGCCCACCAAACCGACGAUCAGUAGCCGACCUGAGAGGGUGACCGGCCACAUUGGGACUGAGACACGGCCCAAACUCCUACGGGAGGCAGCAGUGGGGAAUAUUGCACAAUGGGGGAAACCCUGAUGCAGCGACGCCGCGUGAAGGAAGAAGUAUUUCGGUAUGUAAACUUCUAUCAGCAGGGAAGAAAAUGACGGUACCUGACUAAGAAGCCCCGGCUAACUACGUGCCAGCAGCCGCGGUAAUACGUAGGGGGCAAGCGUUAUCCGGAUUUACUGGGUGUAAAGGGAGCGUAGACGGCAUAGCAAGCCAGAUGUGAAAACCCGGGGCUCAACCGCGGGACUGCAUUUGGAACUGUUGAGCUGGAGUAUCGGAGAGGCAAGUGGAAUUCCUAGUGUAGCGGUGAAAUGCGUAGAUAUUAGGAGGAACACCAGUGGCGAAGGCGGCUUGCUGGACGAUAACUGACGUUGAGGCUCGAAAGCGUGGGGAGCAAACAGGAUUAGAUACCCUGGUAGUCCACGCCGUAAACG
rnacentral:rRNA from 1 species